rnacentral:tRNA from 1 species
GGGGAUUUAGCUCAGCGGCAUAAGCGCCUGCCUUGACAAGCAGGCAGUCGUGAGUUCAAUCCCCG